UUUUAUCAAAGUUUUCUUUUCUGUUUCCAAGUUUUUUACCGAGUUUUUGUUGCUGAUAGCGAUUUUGUUUGUAAGGUUGUUCGGUGCUAUGGCUUUCAGCCUGUGCAACCGGCUUCCUUGUGCUGACGGGGUGAGGUGGUAUUGCAGGAGAGAUGAUCACAGCUCAACCAGGCCUGUGCGAAUUGCCUCUGCUAUUGCUGGUUCCGUGACGAACAGUGUCGAGCAACAAGGAAGAGGCUUCCGGUUUCAGCUUUCAAUUGGUGCUAAAGUCAUUCCUCAUCCUGACAAGGUGGAGAAAGGAGGGGAGGAUGCAUUUUUCAUCAGUGACUUCGAUGGUGGUGUGUUCGGUAUCGCAGAUGGUGUUUCUGGAUGGGCCGAGGAGAAUGUCGACCCUGCAUUAUUUUCGAAAGAGCUGGUCAAUCACUUGGCACAAAGUGUAACUUCGGAAGAAGUUCGAGGCGAUCCAAAGGUGCUCCUUGGCAAAGCACACGCCGCAACGUCGUCAAAGGGAGCUGCUACAGCCAUUGUAGCUACUCUGUUAGGAGCAGAAGGCCUACUGAGAGUUGCGAGCGUUGGGGAUUGUGGCCUGAGACUUGUGCGUGAUGGAAAGGUAGUUUUCGCAACCUCUCCUCAACAGCACUACUUCGAUUGCCCGUACCAGUUCUCGUCCGAAGUUGGAGGCCAAACGGCUGAAGAUUCUGCGGUCCAUGAAAUAACAAUCGUGGCCGGGGACGUUGUUGUGAUGGGAUCUGAUGGUCUCUUUGAUAAUGUUUUCGAUCGCGACAUAGCGGCAACAGUGACUUUGUUCCAAGUCACGGAUGUAGAAUCAGCUGAAAGAACGGCGACAGCACUAGCCACCAUGGCGAAUAGGAAUUCGAGGGAUCCCAAGUAUGAAUCCCCUUACAGCACCGAAGCUAUAUAUCAGGUUCUAAGUUUCAUAUGAUGGUAUUCUCCUCCCAGCUCGCUGUUAUGCAGGGCUUUGACGUGCCAAUAUGGCGCAAGCUUCUCGGUGAAAAACUUACAGGUGGAAAGCUAGAUGAUAUAACGGUUCUCGUGGGAGUGGUGGCAGUGACCGAGAUUGUAGAGGUGGAGGGCGAAAAUGACGAGCAAUCCCAAAGCUCUAUCCAAAAAUCGGAAGAAGCUGUUGUUACAAACGAAGGAAUUUAAUUCUUCUUGUUUCAUAUACUACAUUCCUUGGCUUUAGCCAUGGUUUGUGCCAAUUCCCUUCGUAGCAGAGCUGACACUGAAAGCGUUGGUCGCGAGAGAAAGAAAUCACAACUAAGACCAUUUUCAAUCUCUUGGGUUUUGGUAUCUUUUCAAAACAGCUCACAAUUUUUUCUCCUUUUUUUUCAUGUAACAGAAAGGGUGCUACUUGCAAUAUUUUGAGCUGAUAGAUAUUGUUC